GGGAGGUUAGGACUGCAGAGUGGUACUGGAAAGCUUCCUCAGUAAAGUACUUGUCACAGUCUGGAAGACCAGGAAGAUCAGAAUUUGUUCCCAGAACCUACAUUUAAAAAAAAAAAAAAACAUUGUGAUACAUCUCAGUGCUAGGCAUUAAGGCAGGAGUAGGAUCCUGUGGCUCUUCAGCCAACCAGCCUAGCCUAACUGGCAAGUUUCAGAAGUAUAUGAGUCCUGAAGUAGACCUCUGGCCACACACACUCAUACAUUCUUCAUAAACACAUAUACACAGACAGACACACAAAGAAAUCCUUCCCACAAAACCUGUUACUAAAACAUGAAAGAACUUGGGGUUUAAAAAACCUAAGUUGUCUGGGAGCUGGCGAGAAUGCUGGCUGCUCUGGAAGAGGACCCAAGUUAGAAUCCAACGUCCACAUGGGGUGAGUCAUAACUACCUCCAACAGCUCCAGUAGAUCCAAUAGCCUCUUGCCUCUGAAGGUACCUACAUGCAUAUGCAUAUUGACACACAGGCAUGUACAUACACAUAAGUGAAAAUUAAAAUCUUAAGCUCUCCAUUACAGCAGACUUGACCAUAUCAGAUGAGUUUUAAAACCUGGUGUUUGUCUUAAGUUUGCCGAUAGAUUGUUGUACUCUAGGUCUGCUGUUUCUUCGGUACUAGAGUGGCUAAGGUAGUCCUUAUUAUCCACUGUCUAGCAUGGUGAGCAGUGAGCCAACUGUGCCAUAGUUGUGUAGGGAUCGUUGUUAACUAGCACUUGGAAAAUAAAGAGUACUGUUUGAACUGGAGGGUUUUAUAAAUGUUCAGCCUCAGAAAAAUGUCUUUCUCAAACCAUAGUAAUUCUGGAGCCAUUUCAGAUUUCACCACUUUGAGGUGCUACUAUUUAUAUAGGACUUAGUGGUUUUCCCUGGUAUUUUACUUGUAAAUGUGUUAAGUCAUCACUGCACAUGACAUUGGCAUGGCAAUUGGGAGCUGAGUGUGGAUCCACCUAUCUUUCAGAUUCAUUUUAUAUGGGAAUACUGUUGACUUAGAUUUAUGUAUCUCAUUCUGAUUAUCUGAAAUUUAGCUGGUUAUUGGGUUAGGAGGAAAACAAAGUGUACAUCUAUAAAGAUAACGUGACGAUAUUUCACUUUGCACCCUUAUUUUUGCACUAUGCUUGGCAGUUUAGUGUUUACAAAGUUCCAAGCAUAUUUUAGUUUGGUAAAAGCCAUUUUAUAAGCUCUAGAGUCUGUUUCCUUAUAAAAGUAUAAAAAGUGAUACGUGCCUUUAACUCUUAACACAUAGGAGGGAGAGACGGGAGGAUCAGAACCCCGAGAUCAUCCUCAGCUUCCUAGUGAGUUGGAAGGCAGCCUUGUCUGUGUGAGGCCUUGUCUUGAAAACAAAGCAAGCUGAGCAUAGUGGUACACACUUGUGAUUCCAGCAUUAGGGAGAUGAGGACAGGAUGGGCAGGAGUUCAAGUCCAGCCUGGUCUAUGUAGUGAGUUUAAAAUCAGCCUGGACAGGGGGCUGGACAGAUGGUUCAGCGGUUAAGAGCACUGACUGCUCUUCUAGAGGUCCUAAGUCCAGCAACCACAUGAUGACUCACAAGCACCUUUAUGGGAUCUGAUUCCCUCUUCAGCUGUGUCUGAGGACAGCGACAGUGUACUCGUAUACAUAAAAAUAAAUUAAUCUUUUUUAAAAAAUCAGCUACCUGAAACCCUCUCCUAAUAUCUGAGCUUAAGAACUUUGUAAGCAAUACAUACUGAGCUUUGGGUUUUAGAAGUGCGUUUCUGGGUCAGAAUUACAAAUGCUGUAGUGCACUGCUCAGCUUAGGGGGCACGCUGUAGAAUGGUGAAAUGUGCCAUUCGUUAAUACAUUGAAGCUAUUUUUGUUUGACUUCUCCCACUGAAGGGCCAUAAUUAGGCUUCUAUAGCCAGGGAAAUGCUGUCUUUAUUAAAAGUCAUGUUCAUAAAUGUUCUCUUGAGAUUGGUGUAUAGAUCACUAUAGCACUUGCCAAGUGUGCAUAAGAGCCUGCUGGUCCCUGGCACUACU
rnacentral:lncRNA from 1 species